CUUGUCGGGUAAGUUCCGACCUGCACGAAUGGCGUAACGACUUCUCAACUGUCUCAACCAUAGACUCGGCGAAAUUGCACUACGAGUAAAGAUGCUCGUUACGCGCGGCAGGACGAAAAGACCCCGGGACCUUCACUAUAGCUUGGUAUUGGCGUUUGGUUCGGUUUGUGUAGGAUAGGUGGGAGACUGUGAAGCAGGCACGCCAGUGUUUGUGGAGUCAUCGUUGAAAUACCACUCUGAUCGUAUUGAACCUCUAACCUCGGACCGUAUAUCCGGUCCAGGGACAGUGCCUGGUGGGUAGUUUAACUGGGGCGGUUGCCUCCCAAAAUGUAACGGAGGCGCCCAAAGGUUCCCUCAACCUGGACGGCAAUCAGGUGUUGAGUGCAAGUGCACAAGGGAGCUUGACUGCGAGACCUACAAGUCAAGCAGGGACGAAAGUCGGGACUAGUGAUCCGGCACCUCUGAGUGGAAGGGGUGUCGCUCAACGGAUAAAAGGUACCCCGGGGAUAACAGGCUGAUCUUCCCCAAGAGUCCAUAUCGACGGGAUGGUUUGGCACCUCGAUGUCGGCUCGUCGCAUCCUGGGGCUGGAGCAGGUCCCAAGGGUUGGGCUGUUCGCCCAUUAAAGCGGCACGCGAGCUGGGUUUAGAACGUCGUGAGACAGUUCGGUCUCUAUCCGCCGCGCGCGUCAGAAACUUGAGGAAACCUGUCCCUAGUACGAGAGGACCGGGACGGACGAACCUCUGGUGUACCAGUUGUUCCACCAGGAGCACGGCUGGAUAGCUACGUUCGGACAGGAUAACCGCUGAAAGC
rnacentral:rRNA from 1 species